AGACCCGAAACCCGGUGAUCUAGCCAUGGGCAGGUUGAAGGUUGGGUAACACUAACUGGAGGACCGAACCGACUAAUGUUGAAAAAUUAGCGGAUGACCUGUGGCUGGGGGUGAAAGGCCAAUCAAACCGGGAGAUAGCUGGUUCUCCCCGAAAGCUAUUUAGGUAGCGCCUCGUGAAUUCAUCUCCGGGGGUAGAGCACUGUUUCGGCUAGGGGGCCAUCCCGGCUUACCAACCCGAUGCAAACUGCGAAUACCGGAGAAUGUUAUCACGGGAGACACACGGCGGGUGCUAACGUCCGUCGUGAAGAGGGAAACAACCCAGACCGCCAGCUAAGGUCCCAAAGUCAUGGUUAAGUGGGAAACGAUGUGGGAAGGCCCAGACAGCCAGGAUGUUGGCUUAGAAGCAGCCAUCAUUUAAAGAAAGCGUAAUAGCUCACUGGUCGAGUCGGCCUGCGCGGAAGAUGUAACGGGGCUAAACCAUGCACCGAAGCUGCGGCAGCGACGCUUAUGCGUUGCUGGGUAGGGGAGCGUUCUGUAAGCCUGCGAAGGUGGCCUGUGAGGGUUGCUGGAGGUAUCAGAAGUGCGAAUGCUGACAUAAGUAACGAUAAAGCGGGUGAAAAGCCCGCUCGCCGGAAGACCAAGGGUUCCUGUCCAACGUUAAU
rnacentral:rRNA from 1 species